rnacentral:lncRNA from 10 species
GGCUGGGGGAGCAGCCGUUGGCUCUGGUGCCCCUGGGGGUGGGAGCACGAGUGGGCAAGGAUGAUGGUGAGGCAGAGGAGGCGGCCCCGAGGGAGCGCCCGGCUGAGAGGCGGGGGGCCGAGGGGCCCGGGGAGCGGGCGUCACCGAGGGCCCUGGAAGCGGCAGGGCUGGGGGAGAGGAGACGCGUGUGUGGAGCAUGGGGACCCCAGCCCAGCUCCCACUUGCAGACCUGGGCCGCGGGCUGCCGGCCGAGUGGCCGGGGGGCCUGGCUGCCCAGGAGGCGGGCCGGGGCCGCGGCCGGGGGCGCGGAGCGGAGUUAGGGUCGCCAGGCCGAGCCGAGGUGGGACGGACCGACGCAGAGAGGAAGGGAAGCCACCUGGCCUGAAGAUCCUGUCUCUAAGAUCCCAUUCUGAGGCUUCGAGGGUCUGGCUUGAGCAGCACAGACAGGGACGUGUCUAACCGGGAUGACCAUGAGGUCUCAUCGCAGUUUGCCACUAACCAGAUAAGGAAAUGGCAGCUGACCCAGGUCAAGGAAGUUCCUGAGGUCCCAGGGCUAAUAAGUGGCCUGACUCCACCACCAGCCCCCAGGAGGAAGCCAAC